rnacentral:tRNA from 1 species
GGCCCCAUCGUCUAAUGGUUUAGGACGUCGGGUUCUCAUCCCGGUAACAGGGGUUCGACUCCCCUUGGGGCCA